UAGCAUAUCAUAGCGGAGGAAAAGAAACCAACCGGGAUUGCCCCAGUAACGGCGAGUGAAGCGGCAACAGCUCAAAUUUGAAAUCUGAGGUCGUUUGGGCCUUCGAGUUGUAGUUUGCAGAGGGAGCCUCGGAGGGCGUGCCGGCCCAAGUGCCUUGGAACAGGAUACCGCAGAGGGUGAGAGUCCCGUAUCCGGCCGGUGGCGCGCUCCGUGUGAGGCCUCUUCGACGAGUCGAGUUGUUUGGGAAUGCAGCUCCAAGCGGGUGGUAAAUUCCAUCUAAAGCUAAAUACUGGCCAGAGACCGAUAGCGAACAAGUAGAGUGAUCGAAAGAUGAAAAGCACUUUGAAAAGAGAGUCAAACAGUACGUGAAAUUGUUGAAAGGGAAGCGCAUGGGGGCAGACUUGGCCGCGGGGUUCAGGGUGCGUUCUCGCGCCUGCACUUCCCCGCGGACAGGCCAGCAUCGGUUCUGGGGGCCGGACAAAGGGGCCGGGAAGGUAGCCGCCUUCGGGCGGUGUUAUAGCCCGGCGCGCAAUGCGGCCACCUGGGACCGAGGACCGCGCUUCGGCAAGGAUGCUGGCGUAAUGGCCUCAUGCGGCCCGUCUUGAAACACGGACCAAGGAGUCUAACAUCUAUGCGAGUGUUUGGGUGGCAAGCCCGGGCGCGCAAUGAAAGUGAACGGAGGUGGGAGCUGUUGUAGGCGCACCAUCGACCGAUCCGGACGUUUUCCGAAGGAUUUGAGUAGGAGCAUAGCUGUUGGGACCCGAAAGAUGGUGAACUAUGCGUGAAUAGGGUGAAGCCAGAGGAAACUCUGGUGGAGGCUCGCAGCGGUUCUGACGUGCAAAUCGAUCGUCAAAUUUGCGUAUAGGGCGAAAGACUAAUCGA
rnacentral:rRNA from 1 species